rnacentral:rRNA from 1 species
UGCAGGCUGCAACUCGCCUGCAUGAAGUCGGAAUUGCUAGUAAUCGUAGGUCAGCAUACUACGGUGAAUACGUUCCCCGGGGCCCUUGUACACACCGCCCGUCAAACCAUGAGAGUUGGCAACACCCGAAGUCGGUAGUCUAACCGCAAGGAGGACGCCGCCGAAGGUGGGGGUUGAUGAUUAGGGUUAAGUCGUAACAAGGUACC